UGCGUAGGUGGUUCGUUGUGUCUGUGGUGAAAGCCCCGGGCUUAACCUGGGAAUGGCCAUGGAAACUGGCGAGCUGGAGUCUGGCAGAGGGGGGUGGAAUUCCGCGUGUAGCAGUGAAAUGCGUAGAGAUGCGGAGGAACACCGAUGGCGAAGGCAGCCCCCUGGGCUAAGACUGACGCUGAGGCACGAAAGCGUGGGGAGCAAACAGGAUUAGAUACCCUGGUAGUCCACGCCCUAAACGAUGUCGACUGGGUGUUGGGGAAGCGAUUCCCUGGUACCGUAGCUAACGCGUGAAGUCGACCGCCUGGGGAGUACGGCCGCAAGGUUAAA
rnacentral:rRNA from 1 species